AUUGAACGCUGGCGGCAUGCUUUACACAUGCAAGUCGAACGGUAACAGGCCGCAAGGUGCUGACGAGUGGCGAACGGGUGAGUAAUGCAUCGGAACGUGCCCAGUCGUGGGGGAUAACGCAGCGAAAGCUGUGCUAAUACCGCAUACGAUCUAUGGAUGAAAGCGGGGGACCGUAAGGCCUCGCGCGAUUGGAGCGGCCGAUGUCAGAUUAGGUAGUUGGUGGGGUAAAGGCCUACCAAGCCGACGAUCUGUAGCUGGUCUGAGAGGACGACCAGCCACACUGGGACUGAGACACGGCCCAGACUCCUACGGGAGGCAGCAGUGGGGAAUUUUGGACAAUGGGCGCAAGCCUGAUCCAGCAAUGCCGCGUGCAGGAAGAAGGCCUUCGGGUUGUAAACUGCUUUUGUACGGAACGAAACGGCCUGGGUUAAUACCCUGGGCUAAUGACGGUACCGUAAGAAUAAGCACCGACUAACUACGUGCCAGCCGCCGCAGUAAAAC
rnacentral:rRNA from 1 species